rnacentral:sRNA from 1 species
UGCCUAAACUCCGCGACUCGUCGCGGGGCAUGGCACUAAAAACCGUUCAAGAUACAAAACCCAUCGUCUGGGGUGUCCUUGAACGGUCGUGCGGGGAAACCCGUGCGUUCGACCUAAGGGUCGAG